rnacentral:rRNA from 1 species
AACCCGACUACAUGAAGCUGGAAUCGCUAGUAAUCGCGGAUCAGAAUGCCGCGGUGAAUACGUUCCCGGGUCUUGUACACACCGCCCGUCACACCAUGGGAGUCGGAAAUGCCCGAAGUCUGUGACCCAACCUACGGGAGGGAGCAGCCGAAGGCAGGUCUGAUAACUGGGGUGAAGUCGUAACAAGGUAGC